AAAGAGGUUGGCCCUUUGCCUACUCCCUCUGAGACGGAGCCUCACUUGCCCAAUGCUUUCUGCUUUUUUCUUCAGCAUGAACAGAUUUAUGGCCCCAGAGUAAAAUGGACAAAAAUCCAGAAUGCUUGGAUUGCAAUCUCAAGAUGGAUUAGGAAAGCAGGGAAGGGCAGAUACCACAGGAGGAGUAGGAGGAGGAAGAAAAUCUUGUCCAGUCUGUCCAGCACCACUUUGGCCUCCUUCUCCUCUUUGAACAGUGCGUGGACCUCUUCCUCAAUUGGGCCUCUUCCUCAGUUAAGCCGGCUAGAGAGAUCCCUCCCAUCAUCUUCUGAAGGUGGCAGCUAUUUGCGGACCCUGCCCAGACUCAGUAGACCCGGGCUCAAGGAGCUUCGCAGGGAAUUUGCAGCCCAUGAAAAUGUGAAAUUCAACUUGCAUAAAAAGCAGUUGCAAGAGUUGUGUGGGGGCCCCA